UGAUUGUAGGUGGUGGUGAUGAGAACAAGUUAUUCAUCAAUACUUAGUUUUUUUCUAUUUAUGUUGUGAUAUUUUAUUCAUUUGUUACAAUGACCUAAUUAUAAUAAUUUAAAAUAAAAUUAGUCUUAAUAUGGGUGUUAUUUGUUAGUGGUACUAAUAAUUUACAGUGAUGACAUUGAAGAAGAUCGCAAAAAUGUCAACAAAAUCACAAAUAUCUACAGAAUUAAAUGACAGCAUUAGUAAUGUCCUAGGGAAAAAUGUAAAAAUAUUAUAUAAAUCCUUGAUUCGCAUGGAAUCAAGAGGAGACAAAGUGGAUAAUCGUGUUUUGGUCAUUACAUCAUAUAGAAUAUUUAUAACAACAACAAAAAUCCCAACAAGGAUUGACAAUGGAUUUCACUUGAUGGAAAUAGAGGCUCUGGAGAGCAAGAAGGCAAAUCAUCUAUCAAUAACACUCAUUCAUGAGCACAAGCCAGUGUCUAUUCUUAUUGGUGAAGAAGGAUCGCCGGAAGGCGUCAUUAAUGCAAUACACGCGCUAACAGCCGCGUUUGAUGACUUAUUUCCUAAUGUGGCUAUGGAGGACAUUAUAUCCAAGGUGAAUUUACCAUUUCCACUGCAAGCCGUCAGUGGGACGCGAAAGCAUUCGACGUGCGGCGAUUUUUCUAAUCAAUAUGCAGCAAUGUGUGAUCUUUGCCAAACACCUUUUAGGGCCGAAGUUGCAUGGGACAUUGAUACAAUAUAUUUGGCGCACGAUAUAAGAUUAUUACACCUCAAGGAUUUCGACCAUUUAGAUCAGAGGGAUUUAAUACCGCUGCUGAUAGCGCUGCAACACAACACGUGGUUCACGGGCGUGUGCGGCGACGGCGUGCGCGUCGGCAGCGAGGCGUGGGAGGCGCUCUCGCGUGUGCUGCGCUGCGCCGCGCCGCCGCCGCAGCAGCUCAGCUGGCGCGGCGCGGCGCUGCGGCAUGACCAUGCGGCCAGGCUGGGCCACGCGCUGGCUAGGGCGAGGACCCCGCCUGCGAUGCACACUAUAGAUCUGUCGCAGAACCAUAUAGAAGAUAAAGGAGCGAUCAGUGUACUAACGGGUCUUGCAAACAACCCAGAUGGUAUACGCCACAUAGCACUAUCGCAAUGCGGUUUGACCGGCAAGACUGUAUCCCAUCUAGCCUCCUUGCUCAACGACAACCUUUGCCAUCUCAACACUUUGACACAUCUUGAUCUAUCCCAUAAUAACCUUAAGGAUGAUGUACAUCAUCUGUACAAUUUUUUAGCGCAGCCGAACGUUUUAACGCAUUUAAAUUUAAUAAACACGGAAACAACGCUAGAAAAUAUGUGGGGUGCGCUAUUACGUGGAUGCGCGGCACGUCUCUCAGCGCUGUAUGUGGGGCGAAACCCCUGGGCAAUAGGGCGGAGGCCUAGGGAUCCGCCACCGUCGUUUCGACAGUUUUUCACUGCGUGUUUAGCUCUUACGGAUCUUGACUUCUCUUAUUGCAAGAUGCCUCCUGACGCGCUUAAGAGCCUUUUACUAGGGCUGGCGUGCAACGAGAGCGCUGCGGGCGUGAAGCUGAACGCGUCGGGCGCGCUCGCGUCGUCGCAGGCCGCGCACGUGCUCGAGUCGUGCAUACACGGCGUGCGCUGUCUGCAGGCGCUCGACCUGUCCGACAAUAGUAUGGAAUUUGAGCUAUCUGGAAUUGUGAGGGCAGUAGGGAAAAACCAUUCCAUAACGCAUUUAUCUUUAAGUAAACUAACGGGAAAGCGAUCUUACGCCCCACCGCUUAUACAGGCUUUAGUACACGUUUUACAAGAACCAGAUACAGCUUUAACUUCUUUGGAUCUCAGCGAUUGUAAACUUAAGGGUGAUUUAUACGGGUUAUUAAACGCGUUGGGAGGUGCGAGACGUUUGCGCACGUUGGACGUGUGCGGCAAUCUCGCGGGUGACGCGGGCGCCAGGCUGUUGGCGAAGGCCUUGCAGUGCAACUGCUCUUUACACACCCUGUAUAUAGAUCGGAACGCGUUCAGUUUGCAAGGUCUAACGGACAUAGCGACGGCGCUGCGGCGUUCGGUGAGCGUGCGGCGCGUGGAGUUCCCCGCGAGUGACGCGGCGGCGGGCGGCCGGGGGGCCAGCGAGCGGGUGGCUGCGCUAUGGCGGGACCUGCACGAACGGCUCGCGAGCAACAGCGCGGCGUCCCAAACGCACCGCUUACGCGCUCUAGCGCUGGAGCGCGCGUGGGGCGGCGGCGAGGCGGGCGCGGCGCUGGCGGCGCAAGCGGCUGGAGCGCUGCCGCCCGCGCCGCUGCAGCAGGCGCUCGAGCGCGCUGCAGCCGCUGCGCACCACCUGCUGCAUCAGUAUCUGCAGCGCUGCGGUGAAGUGUUCGCAGCGAUGGGCGGCACCAGUGCGCCGGGCGAACUCGUGCCGCUUCAAGCGGUGCGUGACGCGCUCGCGCCCAGCUCUAAUACACUGCAGGACUUGCUCAACGAGGCGGUAGAAAGUAUGGCACUUGCAGCUUGUGAAAGUGUGGAGAGUGCGGACAGUGAACACACGAUCAAUACCGAGCCGGAUAUACCGGACUUGCUAACACCUAUCUCGCAUUCUGGGAAAUUGGAUUAUUUGAAUUUGGCGACGCCGCUGGGCGGGCGGCGGCGCGAGCGGGGCGCGCGGCGCGUGCGGCCCAAGUCGGUGGCGGAGCAGCAGUGCAGCAGCAACGAGAUGCUGUCGCUGCCGCCGCUGCACGCCGAGGCGGCCGACGCGCUCGCCGACCUGCCCGCGCACAAGCUGCGACACCUCGUCAAGGGACGACCACGACGUGUCAAAACGAGAGCGCCGUCACGGCCUAUAACGGACCAGUCACAGGACAUCGACGAAGGUCUAGACGAGUUCUGGCGCACGUGCCGCACGCCGCCGGGCAGCGAGGAGGUAUCAUCGCUAUCCGCCCGCACGGCACUCACGUCGCGCUCACUGCACUCGCUGUCGUCGCUCGCGUCCGCCUCGCCCGCGUCGCCCGCCUCGCCCUCGCCGCUGCGCCACUCGCCCACGCUGCGCCGCGACGACACCAUGUACAGUGUAACAUCCGGUGAAAGCACGCCCGUAUUAUUAGAAUGCGAAGUAUCUCGCUGCAAGUCUUCCGACAACGUGGGUACCAAAGCUACGUCGUCAACACCACCGCCAUCGAGGUCCUCGGAUAAUGUCAACGCUAUGGGCAACGGGUGUGCCCGAGCCGCGGGCAAGGCGCGCCCGUGGUCCGUGGCCGGCGUCAACGCGGACAACGCCGCCUGCACUACAGAAGGCGUGGAGGCGUGCGUGGGCGGCAGCAUCGUGGGCAUCACGCCGGGCGCCGCACUAACCAGUAACCAACUUGAUGCUAUCCUAUACUGAGCCCUAGGGCCUCUAGCGUAGAGUAGCUUAUCCCUUGUGUUAGGCUCAAUGUUGCGUGAUCAUCCACUAACUCCAGAGGGCGGUGAAGCUUGAGAACAUACGAAUUGGAUCGAAUUGAUUGACGUGAUAAUGAGCAGGGUUAUCGGUACUCUCAGUAUUGGAUGCUCACUGAUGUGCCACUUAUUAGCGUAGGACAUUCGGUAGUCGACACUAGAACGAUAGAUUCACAAUAGAUACUGGGUUAUACGGUUUGGCGGUUUUAAUUCAACUUUGUAGUUCGUGGAUAUGUUUAAUUAGAUGGAUUGGGGCAAUUAUAUGCUAGGAUCAAGGAUGGUAGUCUUAGGAGGGUAAUGGACAACUUAGAAAUGGUUGAGGAGAUACUAUUAUAUUAUUAUUAUCAUAAAAUUUUGUAAUUUUUAUGACUUCCAAGUGUCUAGUAUGGGAAAUAAAUUAUACCAUUAUUGAUAAUAAAAUAAGAUCCGAGAAAAUAUCAUGAAUUCAUGAAGUAACUUUUAAAAAUGUCAAAGAUUAACGAAUCUUUAAAAUAAUAAAUUUGGUUUUGUAUAGUUGUAUAAAGUUGAAUUAAAGCUGUCGAAACGUCGUUUAAAGUUUUUAAAGAUUUCCUUUUUCUGUUGGCUCAAACAAAAUAUAGUUCUUGAGCAAAAUAGUAUUUAUAAAAAAAAUGAAUGAAAUUUCUAAUACAUAAUAAUAUAUUUAAAUCUGCAAUGUAUUAAACGUUAUGAAAUUAUUAAACUCGUGACAUGAAAGAGAUUAACAAAAAUACUGAAAGUUUUCUAAUCUGUCUUUGAAAGUGUUAACCUUAGAUACUUUCAAUGCGUUAACUCAAUAUAAUAUUAAAAGUUAACGAAAUAACUUUACCGAGGAGUAUUACGGCACUUAUCUAUUGACAUGAAAUUCG